UACGUAGGGUGCGAGCGUUAAUCGGAAUUACUGGGCGUAAAGCGUGCGCAGGCGGUCCGGUAAGUCCGCUGUGAAAGUCGGGGGCUCAACCCUCGAAUGCCGGUGGAUACUGUCGGGCUAGAGUGCGGAAGAGGCGAGUGGAAUUCCUGGUGUAGCGGUGAAAUGCGCAGAUAUCAGGAGGAACACCUAUUGCGAAGGCAGCUCGCUGGGACGUAACUGACGCUGAGACGCGAAAGCGUGGGGAGCAAACAGG
rnacentral:rRNA from 1 species